rnacentral:rRNA from 1 species
UACGUAGGGUGCGAGCGUUAAUCGGAAUUCCUGGGCGUAAAGCGUGCGCAGGCGGUUCGCUGUGUCCUGUGUGAAAGCCCCGGGCUUAACCUGGGAAUGGCAUGGGAAACUGGCGGGCUGGAGUGUGGCAGAGGGGGGUGGAAUUCCGCGUGUAGCAGUGAAAUGCGUAGAGAUGCGGAGGAACACCGAUGGCGAAGGCAGCCCCCUGGGCUAACACUGACGCUCAGGCACGAAAGCGUGGGGAGCAAACAGG